GAUGAACGCUGGCGGCGUGCCUAAUACAUGCAAGUCGAGCGAACGGACGAGAAGCUUGCUUCUCUGAUGUUAGCGGCGGACGGGUGAGUAACACGUGGAUAACCUACCUAUAAGGCUGGGAUAACUUCGGGAAACCGGAGCUAAUACCGGAUGAUAUUUUGAACCGCAUGGUUCAAAAGUGAAAGACGGUCUUGCUGUCACUUAUAGAUGGAUCCGCGCUGCAUUAGCUAGUUGGUAAGGUAACGGCUUACCAAGGCAACGAUGCAUAGCCGACCUGAGAGGGUGAUCGACCACACUGGAACUGAGACACGGUCCAGACUCCUACGGGAGGCAGCAGUAGGGAAUCUUGCGCAAUGGGCGAAAGCCUGACGGAGCAACGCCGCGUGAGUGAUGAAGGUCUUCGGAUCGUAAAACUCUGUUAUUAGGGAAGAACAUAUGUGUAAGUAACUGUGCACAUCUUGACGGUACCUAAUCAGAAAGCCACGGCUAACUACGUG
rnacentral:rRNA from 1 species